GGCUGGGGCUCAGGGGCAGAGCGCUCGCCUAGCAUGGGCGAGGCCCUGGGUUCGAUCCUCAGAACCA
rnacentral:tRNA from 1 species